rnacentral:rRNA from 1 species
UACGUAGGGUGCGAGCGUUACUCGGAAUUACUGGGCGUAAGGCGUGCGCAGGCGGUUCGUUGUGUCUGAUGUGAAAGCCCCGGGCUCAACCUGGGAAUGGCAUUGGAAACUGGCGAGCUGGAGUGUGGCAGAGGGGGGUGGAAUUCCGCGUGUAGCAGUGAAAUGCGUAGAGAUGCGGAGGAACCCCGAUGGCGAAGGCAGCCCCCUGGGCCAACACUGACGCUCAGGCACGAAAGCGUGGGGAGCAAACAGG